rnacentral:lncRNA from 1 species
CCCCACCUGCUCUCAUUAAAGCUCCUUGGUUCUCGGGCCCCUCCUUCAUUGCUUCUCUAUAAAUAGGCUGCUCGAGAGCCUUAUUUUCCGCAUCCCCUCUCCUUUCCACUAUGAGUGCUCGAGACAUCCUUGAGGAGUAUGGCCGCGAAGUGCAGGCUCAACAUGCUACCUGGGCCUUGUGCCUGCUGUCGCCUAAUGGAGUCCCCAACAGUGUCGCCGUAGCCGAGACUCAGCGCCUUAACACCGUGCUGAUCGACGUCCACCGCCGCCUCAACCGGAUUCGCUGCGACGACAUUGUCGCGGAGCUUCCCCUCAUC